rnacentral:misc_RNA from 1 species
AAAGCAUAGAUAUCAACGAACGCGAAGCGGGAAAAGGGAAGUGCUCUUUCCACUGGUAUAGAAGCCCAUGGCGCCAGUAUUGCCGAGCUCGCAACCAUGGGUUGAGAAAUAUCGGCCUAAGCAAGUGAAGGAUGUGGCUCACCAGGACGAGGUCGUUCGUGUCCUCACCAACACCCUCGAGACCACUAAUUGCCCACAUAUGCUCUUUUAUGGCCCUCCUGGUACCGGCAAGACCACCACCGCAUUGGCCAUCGCCCACCAGCUUUUUGGGCCUGAACUCUACAAAUCCAGAGUUUUGGAACUAAAUGCAAGUGAUGAUCGUGGUAUCAAUGUUGUCCGGACUAAGAUAAAGGAUUUUGCUGCAGUGGCUGUACGUUCUGGUCAGCAUGGAGGGGAUUACCCUUGUCCACCGUAUAAGAUCAUUAUACUAGAUGAGGCAGAUUCAAUGACUGAAGAUGCUCAGAAUGCUCUGAGACGCACGAUGGAAACUUACUCCAAAGUUACGAGAUUCUUUUUCUUAUGCAAUUAUAUCAGCAGGAUCAUAGAGCCUCUUGCUUCAAGAUGUGCGAAAUUCAGGUUCAAGCCACUUUCAGAAGAAAUUGUGAGCAGUCGUAUAUUGCACAUUUGCAAUGAAGAAGGCCUUAGUCUGGAUGCAGAGGCUCUUUCAACCUUAAGCUCUAUAUCACAAGGUGAUCUUCGUCGGGCUAUCACAUACUUGCAAGGAGCUGCUCGUUUAUUUGGAUCAACAGUUUCGUCUAAGGAUCUACUAAGUGUGUCUGGGGUAAUAUGAUGAUUUCCUUGAGCUUUAUUUGUUCUGGCGGUAAAUUUCCUGGAAAUUUGUUCUUGAUAUUUCAAUGUUUGCAUUUGAAUCUGUCUGCUUACUUUUAUAAUUGUAUGCAUUUAUACAUUUGCAUACAUACAUUAGUAAUUUUUCUUUGCAAGGUUUAUUGAUAGAGUAUAAGUUUUUGUAAACAAUUAAUGCUCUGCCCUUGGCAGUAAGAUAUAAGACAAUUCCUUAUGAGGGCCAAACGAACCUUGGUGCUUAGGAAGCUGAGUAUUUUGAUUUGCAAUAAUAAACAAGUGCAAUUUGCUGGAAUAUUGGAUGUUUUAGAGAUUAGAAUCUGUCUUUUGGUUUAUCAGGUCAUUCCUCAAGAGUUUUUAGGGGCACUUCAUGCAGCAUGCAAAAGUGGGGACUUUGAUUCGGCAAACAAGGAGGUCAAUAAUGUAAUUGCAGAAGGCUAUCCAGUCUCUCAGAUGCUUGUUCAGGUACUAUUUUGCUUACUAUGAUGCUUCCAUCAACCUUGCUGGUUGCUAGAUAAAUAUGCGAUCGAUAUGAUAUUUUCUUCCAGUUAUUUGAGCUAGUGGUUGAAGCAGAUGACAUAUCAGAUGAACAGAAAGCUCGAAUAUGCAAGAGUUUGGCUGCAGCUGAUAAGUGUCUUGUUGAUGGCGCAGAUGAAUACUUGCAGCUGCUGGAUGUGGCCAGCAACACAAUCCGGGCUCUUUGUAACAUGCCGCAAGAUUUCUCUUAUGAGAAUUAGGUAGCACUCUAACUAAGAUUGAGAUGCAGCACAUGGUGAGAUCUUGUAUGAUAACUUAGUUUGCUUUUGAUCCCGAACUUGAAUUUACGAGUGAGUGAUGGAAAUUUGUUCUCUAUUUAAAACUUAUUUUAGAUAUGGGAGCUGCAGAUUUACGGGCAUAGAAACUUGUUCUUGUCACAGCACGCGAGUGUAGCUUGUCAGAUUUAUGAGCCAAUUGAUUGAAAUAUUUAUAAAUGCUUGGACAAAAUGAGAAUGUUGUAUAUUCGCUUCUUGCCUACGAUUUUCAAGUCGAUAUGAUUAUAGUUGUCCAAGCAUUUGAAGGUCCUUUCACAUUCACAUGAUCAAUACAACUACAUUAGUGGCCAUUUUACCGUUGCAACUUGUAAACAGGCUUGUCUUGUCAGGCUUUGCAGACAUCAUAUAUGAUGCAUGAUCAUGUCUGAUAUUUGAAAUUCCAAGUGGAGUCCGAGAUCAUUGUUUUCUGUGGCAAAUAGUGGAGCCCAUAUCGUUCCAUUUCAAGGUAAUUGUGCCACUCUGCCAUGGUGAAGAUGAGC